UUCUGAACAUCUGAAGUCCCAGGUACUUAGGAGACUGAGGUGGAAGUAUUGCUUGAGUCCAGGAGUUUGGGGCCAUAGCAUGCUAUGCUAAUUUGGUGUCUAAACUAAGUUUGGCAUCAAUGUGGUGCACUCCUAGGAGCUGGGGACUGCCAGAUUGCCUAAGGAGGGGUAAAUCAGCCCAGGUCAGAAAUGAAGCAGACCAAAAACUACUGUGCUGAUCAGUAGUGGGAUCAUGCCUGUAAGUAGUAGGCAACCUGGGCAACAUAGACCCUGUAUCA
rnacentral:SRP_RNA from 1 species